rnacentral:rRNA from 1 species
UACGUAGGGUGCGAGCGUUGUCCGGAAUUAUUGGGCGUAAAGAGCUCGUAGGCGGUGUGUCACGUCGUUCGUGAAAACCUGCAGCUUAACUGUGGGCGUGCGGUCGAUACGGGCAUCACUGGAGUUCGGCAGGGGAGACUGGAAUUCCUGGUGUAGCGGUGAAAUGCGCAGAUAUCAGGAGGAACACCGGUGGCGAAGGCGGGUCUCUGGGCCAGUACUGACGCUGAGGAGCGAAAGCGUGGGGAGCGAACAGG